rnacentral:misc_RNA from 1 species
GAUGAAGAACGGAGCGAAAUGCGAUAAGUAAUGUGAAUUGCAGAAUUCAGUGAACCAUCGAAUCUUUGAACGCACAUUGCGCCCGCCAGUAUUCUGGCGGGCAUGCCUGUUCGAGCGUCAUUACAACCCUCAGGCCCCCGGGCCUGGCGUUGGGGAUCGGCGGAGCCCCCCGUGGGCACACGCCGUCCCCCAAAUGCAGUGGCGGUCCCGCCGCAGCUUCCAUCGCGUAGUAGCUAACACCUCGCGACUGGAGAGCGGCGCGGCCACGCCGUAAAACACCCAACUCUUCUGAAGUUGACCUCGAAUCAGGUAGGAAUACCCGCUGAACUUAAGCAUAUCAAUAAGCGGAGGA